UGCCCGGCUAAUUUUUUUAAUUUUUGGUAGAGACAGGGUUUCACUGUGUUGGCCAGGCUGGGCUCGCACUCCUCACCUCAGGUGAUCCGCGCGCCUCGACCUCCCAAAGUGUUGGGAUUACAGGCAUGAGCCACUGUUUUAACUGCUUCUUUUUCAGGCCCCAACUCACAACCACCCCGACCCCUCACCAAAGCAGAAUUGAAAGGGCCACUGAUCCCUUACACCGAGGGGAAACUGAGGUCCACAGGGAGGAACGAAAUUAGAGAAAUACCUGGAUUUAGAGCAAGUUGAGAUGGGGCCACUUCAAACAUUUCAUGCUCCUGUCCUAAACCCACCCUCAUCCCCGAGAAAAGAGACGCCAACCACCGGGCUGAGAAGAAAGUGCGGUCGACCACCCCAGGGCCAAUUUGGGCCUCUUCAUGUAGAUGCCCAUAAGCAGAAGCAGCCCAGCCUCCUCCUGCAGAGAGCCUUACCCGGCCUCAGGAAUUGCCCACAGCAUAAAACCCAGGCCACCCAACCAGUGCACUUAUAUACCCUGAGGGCUGCCCGCCCAACGCAGCCCGUCCACCAAUCAGGGCCUCCCUGGGGGCGUGGUUUGGCCUAAACCGCCCGCCUCUCUGCCUGUGAACCCAGUCAGCACCCAGCUGCGGCUCCCCAGGGUGAAAGCCUCUCCGAAGUUUCAUCAGCUACAAGAGGGGUGAAGGCAGGCCAGCUGGACCCCAGGGCCUGAGAUACCAUAGGAAGGGCAGGGAGCUAGGAUCCGCGUUACCCUCUUGACAAAUGCAGCGCCAAGGGGCUGAGCCGAGAAAUGAGGCCUGGGCUACCAGGGCCAGGGUCUUGCCGUCUCGCUCAGGCUGGAAUGCUGUGGAGUGAUCUCGGCUCACUGCAAGCUCCACCUCCUAGGCUCAAGAGAUUCUCCCAUCUCAGCCUCCCGAGUAGCUGGGACCACAGGCAUGUGCCACCAAGCACAGCUAAUGGGAUAAACCUCUUAUAAAAGAGGCUUUUGGGACCCCAGCUUGUGUGCAAAAAUAAUAAUAAAUAAUAAUAAUAAAAAGAGGCAUCAUCCACUGUUCUGCUCUUUUUUGCCCUUCUGUUCUUCUGCCAUGUGAGGACACAGGGUUUGUCUCCUUUGGAGGACACAGUAACAAGGCACCAUCUUGGAAGCAGAGAGCAGCCAGAAACUAAACAUGCCAGCACCUUAAUGGUGGACUGUUGGGGUCUGGCACAUCUGCCGGGGGGCUACCGACCUGCGGGAGUCCCCGAGACCACCAACAUAGAUGUCUCCUUCAACCUGAGGGAGAGAGUGUGCGGAAGUGAAAGAAAAAAGAAAAACGGAGUCUGGAGGGCUGGCUUAGGCUAUGUCCAAGCAGCAAUUUUAUUUUUGCAAUAUGUUCCAUUAUAUACCUUUCUGAAGUUAAUGUUGUUUACGCCAGAUCAACAUACUUAAGUUACAGUAAGCAAGUUACGCCCACUAAGUUACGCUCAGUAAGUAAGUUACACCCAGUAAGUACUUAACAAUUGUAAGCAAGUUACCAGUUAUGCCCCGUAAGUUAUGGUAAGUAAGUUACAGUUACACCCAGUAAGUUAUGGUAAGUUACAGUUAUACCCAGUAAGUUACGUAAGUAAGUUACCAAGUGUAAAUACUUAAGUUAAUAUUUUACAAUGAAGGUAACAAGAGUCCAAAAUGAACACAAUCAAGCAAUAAACCAUAAGGAGCCGAAAGUGGACACAAUGCCUCCCAAGUCCUCAUAUCCAUAAAGUAAUGUCUGUUAAUUAUUUUGAAUAGCAUAGUCCCUCUCUCGGUUCCUGCUUUCCCUCAGCUCAACUCCCCCAACCUGGGAUCUGUGUCCAGGCUCAAGCUCACCGUAUGGCAAGGCCCAUUUCCUAGGGUCCUCACACAGGAGUGAUCCCCACAGAUCCCUCAGUGGACUUCCAGCCUCCAGAACUGUAACAAAUCAGUUUCUAUUGUUUAUAAAUGACCCAGUCUUGGGUAUUUUGUUAUAGUAGGAGAAACAGACUAAGACAAAGGGGAGAAGAGUAAAUUGACAGUGAAGAAGCCUGGCAGACACCACGUGAUCAAAGUUAGUAUUACCAGGAUUAUAAGGCAUAUUGACAUCAUGUGCCGUGAACUCUGACGCCCUGAGAAGGGCACAAUUUGCUGCUCUAGUAUUCUCGCUGAAAAUCAGCAACUUCGGACUAAACAUUACAAACAUCCGAUAAACACAAAAUAAUUGAGGAUGUUCCACAAAAUAAUUGGCCAGUACUCUUCAAAAGUGUCAAAUUCAUGAAAGAAGAAACCAGAGGCCGGGUGCAGGGGCUCACACGUCUAAUCCCAGCAUUUUGGGAGGGUGAGCUGGGCAGAUUGCUUGAACCCUGGAGUUUGAGACCAGCUGGGCAACACGGUGAAACCCCAUCUCUACAAAAAAUACAAAAAUUAGCCAAGUGUGGUAGCAUGUGCCUGUAGUCCCAGUUACUUGGGAGGCUGAGGUAGGAGGAUCAUCUGAGAUCAGGGAGGUUGAGGCUGCAGUGAGCUGUAAUCAGGCCACUGCACUCCAGGCAGGGUGACAAAAUGAGACCCUGUCUCAGAAAUAAAGAAAGAAACCUGAGAAAUUGUCGCAGAGUGGAAGAGAGCAAGGAGACACGGUGCCUGUGGCAGGCAGCCUCCAAGGUGGUCCCUGAAUGAACCUGGUACUCACGUAAUUACACAGGGUUGACCUGUGCACCAAUAGGAUGUGGGGGAAACGCUGCAGUGUGGUUUCUGGGGCUAGGUCAUAAAAAACUUCGCAGCUUCCUUAUGUGCUCUGAGAAACCUGUUACUUUCUCUUGGAAAAGCCAGCUUCUUGUCAUGAGGCAAGACCGAGGAGAAGGCAACACUCACUGUGGACAAGACUGUGUGGCCUGAAACUGAGGCUGCUGCCAUGGAAUGGGCACCAUCUUGACUUUUUUUCUUUUUGAAACAGAAUCUGUCUCUGUUGCCCUGGCUGGAGUGUGGUGGCACAAUCUCGGCUCACUGUAACCUCCAACUCCCAGGUGCAAGCGAUUAUCCUGCCUCAGCCUCCCCAGUAGCUGGGACUACAGGCGUGCACCACCAUGCCCAGUUAAUUUUUAUAUUUUUAGUAGAGACAGGUUUUUUUUUUUUUUUU